AGAGUUUGAUCCUGGCUCAGGAUGAACGCUGGCGGCGUGCUUAACACAUGCAAGUCGAACGAUGAUCUCCAGCUUGCUGGGGGGAUUAGUGGCGAACGGGUGAGUAACACGUGAGUAACCUGCCCUUAACUCUGGGAUAAGCCUGGGAAACUGGGUCUAAUACCGGAUAUUGACGUUCUGCCGCAUGGUGGGGUGUUGAAAGCUUUUGUGGUUUUGGAUGGACUCGCGGCCUAUCAGCUUGUUGGUGGGGUAAUGGCCUACCAAGGCGACGACGGGUAGCCGGCCUGAGAGGGUGACCGGCCACACUGGGACUGAGACACGGCCCAGACUCCUACGGGAGGCAGCAGUGGGGAAUAUUGCACAAUGGGCGCAAGCCUGAUGCAGCGACGCCGCGUGAGGGAUGACGGCCUUCGGGUUGUAAACCUCUUUCAGUAGGGAACAAGGCCGGGUUUUGCCUGGUUGAGGGUACCUGCAGAAGAAGCGCCGGCUAACUACGUGCCAGCAGCCGCGGUAAUACGUAGGGCGCAAGCGUUAUCCGGAAUUAUUGGGCGUAAAGAGCUCGUAGGCGGUUUGUCGCGUCUGCCGUGAAAGUCCGGGGCUCAACCCCGGAUCUGCGGUGGGUACGGGCAGACUAGAGUGAUGUAGGGGAGACUGGAAUUCCUGGUGUAGCGGUGAAAUGCGCAGAUAUCAGGAGGAACACCGAUGGCGAAGGCAGGUCUCUGGGCAUUAACUGACGCUGAGGAGCGAAAGCAUGGGGAGCGAACAGGAUUAGAUACCCUGGUAGUCCAUGCCGUAAACGUUGGGCACUAGGUGUGGGGGACAUUCCACGUCUUCCGCGCCGUAGCUAACGCAUUAAGUGCCCCGC
rnacentral:rRNA from 1 species